GACGAACGCUGGCGGCGUGCCUAAUACAUGCAGGUUGAGCGCUGAAGGUUGGUACUUGUACCAACUGGAUGAGCAGCGAACGGGUGAGUAACGCGUGGGGAAUCUGCCUUUGAGCGGGGGACAACAUUUGGAAACGAAUGCUAAUACCGCAUAAAAACUUUAAACACAAGUUUUAAGUUCGAAAGAUGCAAUUGCAUCACUCAAAGAUGAUCCCGCGUUGUAUUAGCUAGUUGGUGAGGUAAAGGCUCACCAAGGCGAUGAUACAUAGCCGACCUGAGAGGGUGAUCGGCCACAUUGGGACUGAGACACGGCCCAAACUCCUACGGGAGGCAGCAGUAGGGAAUCUUCGGCAAUGGACGAAAGUCUGACCGAGCAACGCCGCGUGAGUGAAGAAGGUUUUCGGAUCGUAAAACUCUGUUGGUAGAGAAGAACGUUGGUGAGAGUGGAAAGCUCAUCAAGUGACGGUAACUACCCAGAAAGGGACGGCUAACUACGUG
rnacentral:rRNA from 1 species